GCUCACAUCUUCCAUCUUAAACAACCUUAAUUUAUGUCUCUCAAACUCGGAAACAAUGAACUGCGCUAUAUCAGAGGACAAAAUGUAGCCUGGUCCAUUUGCAUAGGGUGGAUAAUCUUCCUCUGGCCACUCCUGAAACCACAAAAACGAUGGAUAAAAAUGGCAAGCGAACGUCCAAAAGAAUCAUCGGCAAAAAGAAGAAGAAAAAGGAGGAGGAAAAGGAAAAUGUUAGUUCAACAACCAAGUUAAAGAACAGCAGACGAAAUAUCAAUGCCAUCAUUUUUUUUCUUUCAAUUGUGAAACAAACAAUUAAUAAACAUGGGAAGGGAUAUAGGAGAGAGCUUUUCAAAUCCAGGAUUAUCACAACGCAUACAACUUGAUCAAGACAAGCAUCAUUUAAACCCAGAGUACAGUGCUUCGUAUAUGAUCUUUUUUGAAGAGGUAAACUCAUAGAUCUAUUCCUUCAGAUUUGAUUCCAAUACAUAUAGCAUGAGUAAUGCUACACAUCCAUCACAACCAAGGGGCUAGCAUUGACAUAAAAUCUAAACAUUAGACAGACUAAAUGCAACCCAACAAUGUGUAUCAGUGACCUCUCACAUAAAAUUGAAUGCACCAAGUCUUAUUAGCUAUCUGAUAAAAUUAAAGGAUGAAGCAAUUAAUUGGGUUACCCAUACCUCAUAUGUCACUGCCCAUUUACCAUAUCGAAGAGGCUUAUGGUAGUAAUUUAUGUUCCCAAUGUACAAGCUCCUACCCUCAGGAACUUUUCUUGCUUCAUCAAUGACUGCGUCCACUCUAACAAAUGUGUCAUCAUCACCCUUCAUAAUGUACUUUGCAUGCACAGUGCGGACCCCGUAUUCACAGAUGGCAACUGUUUUUAAUACCACAAGAUCAUAGUUAUCCAUGUAAGGCACAAUAACAAUGUCACCAAAAAAUUCUGCCUCUUUCUUCAACUCCAAAUUCACUUCUUUCCGUGCAUGCAAUGCUACAAAGAACCGAGCUACCAUAUUUGAAGAUUUAAUGAGACUGUGCUGCAUCCAAGACUUCCUCACAGCCAUCCUCUCAGCAAAAUGGUUGCCUGCAGAAAGAACACCAAUAAAAAGUUCUGCUGGCCCGUCAGGAAGAGGUGGUGCUCUCCAUCUGUCUGUCAUCUCUAAAUGCCGCUGAGGAGCAAAACUUGGGUGUGUUGUGGGCAACGAAGCAGCAAAUACAGAGUGAACGUCCACGUCACCAUUCACAGUUAGCCCUGUGGCAUCCUCAAGAGUAUAACCAGUGCGAUAAGGAAACGAAGUGGCAUGCCUCCCAUCAACAGUGACAUGAUAACCUUCCAAACCAGCACUAAGAGUUAGAACAAACAGCCUCUCCUCUACAAAUGGAAAUGGCCAGUCAACAGACACCUUUUUAGUUCGGCCUAUUAGCCGGCUUAACCACCAAAUAGCCUUUGACUCCUCUGAGCGAUUGUCAUCAUCACGGAUCCACUUCUCACACUUCACUUGAUCAUCAACCGUCUCCUCAUCAGCCUUAGACUUCCAACCCUCACAUCGUAAAGCAGUCCCCCACUGCAUCCUAUAACAAGUAUUAUGCUCAAUCACCGGCUUCCCACUCCAAUCCCCCUUCAGCCUUGGAUUGAAAUGCAGAAUCCUUGGCGGGUCCUCGCCUUCCACAAUCUUCAAUCCCUGCAACUCCAUCAUAAACUGCGAAACCAUCACCAGCUCUCCACCAUCUUUCACCAGCGAUAUCUUUGGGUCGUUCUCAGCAUGGGCCCUCCUUGGCUUCCCCACCACCGUUACGUGCGACCCCAAAGUCAGCCCACAUGGCAACUCCACGACCUUCCCUCGCUUCAGAAAAUCGGAACGAGAUAGAGAAAUCGAAUGCGGGCACGAUUCGGAUAGGUUCUGGGGCUUCUUAACUUCCAAAACCUUAAUUUUACCCGACUCUAUCCCUCCCCAAAGCUUACUUCCCACUUCCCAAGCAGUCUUAGCAGUCCUAUGAAGCUCCACGGAUCCAUCUUUUUUAGUAGGAUCAAAUGUUUCCGGAUCAAAAUUCAAACCUGACAACAUUUUAACGGGUCUGUAGGUACUUUGGGACUGAGUUGGUUGGGCCGAGUUAUGAGAGACCCAGUCAAGGGGACGAGUUGGAGCAUCUCUAUCCUGCAAAUCCUCUUCGCUUUGAAGCAUAGAAGGGCGAGUGAGGGUUUCUUGAGAGACAGCACUGAAACCAGUAUUGAACACAAAAGGGAUUUCUAGAGUUACGAGGCAUAUAUACAAAAAACCAACACCAAUCAGGAUUUGAAUCGAUCUUUGCCUGCUUAAAGACACAAACAUGUCAAAUUUAUCCAAUCUGGUUUCCGAUUUGCCCCUCUUCAUAUUGCAAACAAAUAUCAAAACGAAAAAAAGAAACCUAAUUUCUGAAAUAAAGAGGGAAAAUAAAAUCUGGGUUUAGAGAAAUGGAGGAGACAGAGGCAAAAGAUAGGUCUUAUAGAGGGUCCAAAGGCAGAAGAAGAGAAACCAAUUAGGUGAUCAAGAACGUAAACGUUCACAGAAGAAACGCGUAGAGAAGAGAGAGAAGAUUUGAAAUGCAAUGAAACGGGCAAAACCGCAAAAGAUAUUGCCCUCUCCUCCUUUGCAAAAUUUUUAAUUAUGGGGGCAUUUUGAGCAAGUCGGUCACGUCAAGCUUUUAUUCCAG
rnacentral:misc_RNA from 1 species